GAAUGCAUCCCAGUGAUGCGGGGGGAGGAACAUCUUGCACUCAGAAAUAGCCUCAGUGCUUGUUCUCUGUCCUUGCAGUGUGUGACCAGAGGUGGGGGCCAAAGGCUUUGCACUGGGACCAUGAAGGAAGCCCCUGCAUUGAGACUUCGAAGCUUGGCUCAUCAUGGGGUAGAGUCUGUUUUUCCACUGUGAAUCAAGUCUUGCUAUGUGGCUUGCUUUGGCUAAUAGAAUGUGAUAAAUGUGACUAUAUGUCACUUCAAGCUUAGGCUGCAAGAGGCAUUGCACAUUUUCAACUCAUGCUUUUGGGACCCUACCUCUGCCAUGAGAAAAAGCCAAGGCUGGCUAACGAGAAGGGAAAUGUCCAUAUAAAAGCAAGUUCAGUUGUUCCAUUUAAAGUCAUCCUAAACCAUGUAUAUUAUAAGAUCUCAGUCAAAUAGCACCACCCAUGUAAAGUUCAACUGAUCUCAGAAGUGUCAUGAAGCACAUUACAGACCAAACUUCCAAGCUGACCCUUAGAUGCAUAAGCAAUAGUAAAUGCUUAUUCAAAGCCACUGAUAUUUGGGGAGGUUUGUUACCCAGCAAUAGCUAACUGAUGCAACAGACUUUUUAAGAUAGUGUUAUUACUUAGGGGUGAGUAAAGGUGAAACAGAUUGUAUUUCUCAAGAUAAUCUCAUAAAUUAUCACAGAUAGAUAGUUCCAGAGUAAACAUCUCUCUGGCUUUGCAUUUUUUGUAACCAUCCACAAAUCCGAAUUGUAUGGUCUUUAGGGAG
rnacentral:lncRNA from 10 species